AUGAACUUAGGAAGCCCUCUGCUCGAGGGUAAUCCCCAAGUUAUAGUUAUCAUAACACAUAUAAAGGCUUGAACUUGACAUACUAUUCAUGUAACAGUGAGUUUACCAUAAUGCCCCUUAUUUUCUAUGUUUUACGUCCAACCCUUUUGCCCCAAUCAGUUGCCACGAUCCCCCAUUCCUCCUCCUCCUCCUCCCUUCGCGUCAAGAGUCAUGACCACCCAUCAGUUUCCUCGGUUUCUGUUUAUCCGAUCAAAAUGUUUCGUCGGCCUCUACUUCUCUGUCGUGAUUCCGGCAUCAAGACCUCUCCCAUAAGGUAUGCAGAAAGAUGAAUGAGACUUAUACGAUUAUGGCGUUAGAUGCUGAGAUUCGUGAAAUUAAAAGUCGAUUAUUGGGAGAAGUGCAGAAAUUGAAGCAAUUAACUCCAUUCCUAUAUUAUAGCCCGUUUCGAUGCGGCUGUGGCUCAAAAGGAGUAAGGGUUCAGAUAAGCUUCCUCUUAUCAAGUAAAGAUGACAGCUUCGGAAGAGAAUAGUUCACUGUUUCCUAUAUUUAUUUUGACUAUGAUGGCACUCCCUUUAGUCAUCAUACAAUUUCAAAACUCUGUCGGUUUGCAAAGAAGAAGGCGAAAAUCUUACAUUGUCAAUGUGCUGUAUGCUCUCGCUCUGGAAAAUACCAUAAAUCACUAUUGAAAAGGGUUUCAAACUUCUCCACUUGUAGUAACUUGUGUUGCUGUGGGUCAUUAUGGCCUUCUUGAUUUAUUACAUAAAAUAUAUGAGCGUUGAGGUAUGUAUAUUUUGCAAGAGAAAUCUAUUGAUUGUUCGGCAAAAAUACAGAUCUUCCUAUUGGUGCUGAACUUUUUAUCAUGAAACAAGUUUCCCCUAAAUUUAUUGUCUUUUGCUUGGUAUUCGGGUUCAAAUUUUUGAUCCAUACAACAGUCUUGGUUUGGAACCUGGAGCUUCUGAGUCAGAAAUAAAAAAGGCUUAUAGGAAACUUUCUAUUAUGUACCAUCAUGACAAAACCAGAUCCUGGUAGAUAUUGUUUGUGCAAAUGCUACUUCACUUUUUCGUGUUGAUUUAUAUGCCUACCUAUUCCUAAUGUGCUGCUAACCAUCUUGUUGACAAAAUACCAGAAGAAAUUGUUGACUGCCAGAAACUUGAGGUUCUUAAUCUUAAGAGUAAUCAUUUUACUGGUGGUGUACCGUCUGAAUUGUCGAAGCUUGUUCGUCUUCGAGUUCUUGACUUCUCCAUGAAUAGGCUUUCAGGGGACUUGAGCUUUUUGAGGGUCGAACUACAAGACCUCCAGUUUACAAGACUGGCGCUCUACCACUGAGCUAUAGGGGCUUACUUAUUGUCAUUUUAAAAAAUAAACAAUAUAACUCAAAGUUGAAUCAAAUUACAAAGACUCAAAAGAGGGAGAAAAUUAGAGGAGCGCCAUUCCCAGUUUAAUUUUGUGUUCUAUUUGCUCUCGGAAAUGGAGGAGAUUUUCGACCCUGUAAGUUAUUUUUGUUCCAUUUUUAUUCAUUCAAAUUUCUAUGUCUGAAUUUUUGUUUGAUUAAUUUUGUAUUGAUUCGUUAAUUUUGAAUAAUUAUGACCUAAUUCACGCCAUUUUCAAGCUCGUUUGGCGCAAAAAAAUAAAAAUAAAAGAGACGUGACACCUGGACAAAGAAAAAAGAGUGAAAAACGACAUCGUGAGUAAUUAUAACCAUCAUCACAAUUCCGCAACUUCGAAAAACAGUAAUCGAGCUCCACCUCUAUCCCUCUACUUUACUUUUUCUUGUUGAUUUAUAUGCCUACCUAUGUUGUCUGUAUCAAUUUUGUGAGAUCGUGUCUUUCUCCGCCAGUCAUCCAGGUAUAUAUUGAGCAUCUCACUGCAGUUUUUAUCUUGAAUGUCGGCAGGGAUUCCAAAUGGGAAUUGCUCUCCCCCAUUUCCUAUUAAAUAUUGAAGGUGCAUCUGGCGGGAUACUAUUAAUUUGGAUUGUUGGAAUCUGUAUCUUGUUGUCGUUGGUCAUAGCUCUUGUCUAUCUCUCAAGGUCAUCCAAGUACUUAGGGAACUAUGUCAUGCAUUAGGCUCUUUUGACUUAUUAUCACUUGAUGAAACCAUCACUUGCCCCAUAGUAAGCUUUUACUAUCAGCAGUAGUUUUUAAUCGAUAGAUAUCUGGUGUUUUAAAGUUUUAUAUUGUAUACCUUUUACUAUCAGUGCUUUUAUUGUUUCAUUUGUACAUCAUAUCUUACUUAGCAUUAGCAACACAAGUCGAUGUGAUUUUUCCAUAGAUAAGGGUUUGGAACUCAGUUCCAGGUGCAUAGUUUUACACUUAAUUCCUAGAUUAUCACCCAUUCCAAUGCAUUUAUGGCCCAAAAGGUACAUGGCUUUUGAUUGUUCUUACAUUAAUACCAUUACCAAUGUUUUAUCUGUAAAUGGAGUUUUUUUUUUUUUGUUUAAUUUCUGGGAUUGUUAAUGAAUUUAUAGGGUUUAUGAUUUUUUUUUUGUUUUGUUUGAACUAUCUAUUAAUUUUAUUGACCUUUUUCCUAAUACAACUGUUUAAGGUGUUAGUCUAAGCUUUAUAUUGUAAUAGAUGUUUGUUGAGCUAUUUUUUUGAUGGAAGUUUUAGCCUUAAGUUGUUCUGAUAUGUAAUACUUGGCUAAUUCCAAGUUGCAGUAGUUUGCAAUUUGUUAUGUUUGUUUGAAAAGUUAGGAAAAGGAAACUGGAAUACCUGAUAGAUUUCAAGGGGCAACUGCUUGCAAUUUGUUAGAUUUGUUUGGAAAUUAAUAAAUACACAAUGAUUCAAUCGUAUGUAGUAGUACUAUUCGUAUCAGGUUUCAGUUAAAUGACAAGGGUUACAGUUGUUCGUCGUAUACUUAUUUUCAUUGUUAUCACUGCCAUAACCCACAAACUAAUAAAAUACAGAAUAAAUUUAUAAGGUUUUAGUGGAAAAGUGAUGGGGAAUGGGGUGCUUGAGUGUCAAUCUUAUGCUUAGCUGAUUCGAUCUUAAAGGAAAUAAAUUAGGGAUGCCAAAUAUAAGACAAUUAGUAACACAAGAAAACAAAAUUUGUGAGUUAAAGGGAGAAUACGGAGUCUCGUAAUUGGUUAUAGGGUUAUCUAGAGCAUGCAUGAAUGUAUGUUCUCCGGGGCAUACUUUGCAGCCAGUCUGUUGCUUCUUAGUGACGAGGUUUUGGAUCUUCUAAGGAAGUUUCUGUACAAGUAGCUGGAUGCCAAACAUUAACGCCAAACAUUAACUCGAUUAAUUUGUAGUCAAGUAAAGUACGAGAUCUUCUUGUUUUUGCUUCACGGACUUCCAUAUUGCAUAGUUUAGAGAAAAUUUUGUGUAUUAGAGGAUUGUUCGUUCACUGACUUUUUAGAGGAGUUGUUCAAGUAGAGCUUUAGUGAUAAUAAUCAUGCUUGUUAGAUUUUGGGAUUCAAUUUAUGUCCACUUUUCAGUUAAUUGCUCAUUUCGUAAAACCUUGUGAUUAAUUGUGGCCUUUGUUAUGUAUAUAAUUUCCAUUUACUUGCUCUACAGUGGAUGUAAAAUAUCACAACCACAGUUCACUAAACAUAUCCAAUUAUUUACCUAUAAAGCCCAUUAGAUAUUUACUUGAAGCAAAACAUAUAUUGUUCAUGCUGUGUCUGAAGUUUACGGAAAGGAGUACAAAUUAUCAUGCUGAUUUACUUGAGGAUGGGCCGAUGGGCCUUCAAGGUUUUUAACCCUUGGACCCUUGGUUAUCAAUACACCUAUAUAUGUUACAUGUGAUAAAACCUUGUAGGAUAUGUGUCAUGUUAUUAAAAAAUAAAUUACGCUACAUGUUUCUGGGGCUCCUUACAAGAAUUUGACACAUGCAGAGACUGAUAGCACUUAUGCCCGCAAUAUCGCAAAUCUUGUAAACAAAGUCUGCAUGUUAGCUCGGGAAACGGGGGCAGAACAUCAGAAAUAUUCCUUGAAAGAAGUUAUGGUGUGGUACAUCGCUGAGUCCUCGCACAUUUUUGACAAUAUAGACGAGGUCAGUAAACUCAAAUCUACAAUCUCGAACUGCAUAAUUUUGAAACAUCAAUACGAUGGUAUUUUUGUUGUUGUAUGUCUUGGGAUUAAUAAGGUUACUAGAAGAUUUUGGGAGUACAGUUUUUUUUCCCCAGCUGACCGGGAUUGGUUUACGUCGCUUUUUUGCGCUUGUUAAUUUAGUUGGUAGUCUUGGACCUUGGUACUGUCUGUAACUCUGUACAAUAAGAGAUACCAAAGUUUGUUGAAGGGACCAAUGUGUAAAAAGACAUUUCUAAUAGUUGGCUUUUACUUAAAUGUCAGUACACAUGUGUUUCGUUAACCUGUUGUUAGAACAAAAAUAAUACAAGCUUUUGGUGAUAUUACCUCUAUUCCACAUUUAUAUUCUCAGCCGGUUGUCUGUGUUUAAUUUGGCUUGCCAAGUUCUUGCAUGCUUGGCUGUGUUCAGUUGGUCAUACGUAUGUGUUAUUCAGCAAUUACUUUAUUACCUGCAAUUAUAAUCCUCUAAAAUCAACUACUGCAUUUGUUGUAUUCAUCUGCUUUUGCUUGUGUCAACUACUUCAAUUUCACGGAUUUUAACUGUGUAAGAAGAAGUUACAAGACUUUGGAGAGGAACAAUCACUGGUUUGACGGCUUCCAGUGGUAGAGUUAUAUCUUCACUUUUAUGAUGUAUUCCGCGUACACAUGGGAGAAUUUGCAGCUGAAAAUGCUCCAAAGUGUGGGGAUAUGGCCAUAUCCCCCAUUUGAAAGAAUGAAUCUGCAACAGUAAAUGGUAGAGGAUUGACAUGAAAACACUACAGUAGUUAAUGGAGGAUAGACAAGAAUCACUAGCAUCCCUUUGCAACAAUUAUACGACUCCCUUUUGUUUUUGCUAAAUCGUACCAUCUUUUUUUGUAUGAAUAUUUGUCUCAAACAUUUUGUAUAGAGCUACAUAAUCCUGCAAAAUCUCAAACAUUUUUUGUAGAACUACAUACUAUUUCAAGUGGUUCUAUUGUGUUGUCAUUUGCGAUACUCCCCCACAAAAAACAUAGCUAAUUACUUUUGAUAUUGUAAUCUCUAUAUAAGA